UAGAAGUCUUCUUAGGUGAUGUCACAGGAUAAAAAGUCUCUGAAAUUUUAAAGUAAACUCCAUAUAUUAUAAUAUUGUAUAAACCACAGGAAUAGUUAAGGUGUAUAAUGCACUCACAAAUGAAUGAUAAAUCAGGCUUUUGGGGGUAUAGCUGCUUAACUCGAAUCAACAAAAAUGUUAAUACAUCAUUGCACUAACUGGAUGUAGAUAUCAGGCAUGUCACCUCUAUAUCGAAGAAUGCUACGAUUUACCAGUGUUUGGUGUCAUUUUUUUACCUGUAUAGUUGGUGCUGGUGUUCUUUACCAUUUGUAUCCCUCUUUGUUGGUUAAUUUAUUCAUUUUUUUGUAAGGUAGCACAGAAAGGUAUUUUUUGUAUUGAAUAAUUA